rnacentral:lncRNA from 1 species
GGAAUUAAAGUGGCCUCAAGCAUUGCUGCUAGACGUGAUCUCUUAGAAAGACAUCUCCAGGGGCUGGCUUGGUGGUGCAGCAGGGUCCCUGAAUUGGUUCCUCGCCCAGCAGCAACCAUUUCAGCUACGUCUCUUUCCUCUGCCUUUGUCACCGAGCUGAGUAAUGAUGUGACAACAUGUGAUUGGGCGAUUGAUGUCAAAUGUUAGCAGCAACAUUCAUUUUCCCCUGAAAUGGACAAAGAAGAGUAUUAGUCAUUUAGAAAUUUCGUCUCGAAGCUACACCUCACGAGUGAUAUUCCAAAAUUGACUUGGUCUGAAAUUUAAAGUGGCUUUUAAGUUCUUCUCCUUUGAUUGUUCCUCAGGUCAUGCAGAGUUGUGAAAGGCCGAGGGAGCAAGUUAGUGAUGGGAACUGCGAAUGCCAUUUGUCAGCUCCCUGACUCCUCUGCAGAAAUCCAUUCCUGCAGUGACAGGAUGUUCCUGAGACCUCAUGUCACAUAGAGGAAAAUCCGUGGGCUUUGGAGAUGGACAGAUCUGGGCUCUUAUCACUUCCUGCUUACUCUGUGAGCCUCAGUUUUCCUAUCUGUGCAGUGGGAUCAAUAAUAAUGAUUAUUAUCAGCCUCAUUUUGCAGAAAUAAGAAAAUAAGUUUUACAGAGGUGAAUAAGGGGCCAAAGUUGACAGUGAGUGAAGGGUCGAGCACAGCCUUCUCUGCGCCAUUGAUUCCCCAGCUCCUGCUCUGAACCAGGGAGAUCUUGUCCUGUCCCCCAGCCUCACCAGGAGGGCGCUGGGCUUUUCAUUUACCCUCCAUGCAGAGAACUGUUGUCUCUCCAGCAAUAACCCACUGAGGUGUGUCUGUGGAGGACUUGGCUUCAGAGACAGGGCUUCCCUGGGACCCUCCAAAGGUCCUUCCAAUAGAUGCCAAAAUGACCCCAGAUGAUGAGAGCUUAAAAUCCCUGCUCUCUGCGAUCAGCAUUUUUCAAAAAAAAGAAAUAUGCAGCAGGCUGUGCUAGUUUUUUUAACAUCUGGGAAGGCUCUUGCUCCCUCUGAGCCCUCUGUGUGCUCCAAAGUUACUGAUAACCAUCGUUAGAAAUGGCUUCCACCUACGGCUAUGAUUCAUGGCGGGGUUCAGACUGUGAUUCAUAGCCUCCUAAGAAGCGGGUGUCAGGCAGGGGUGCUACCUAGAAGCAGUGCCCGGGAAUAGGCCCACCGAUGUGAUGCAGCCAGAUAUGCUAAUGAGAUCAAUGCCAUGUUGCAUUAAAAAAUCCAAACCUCAUUUGCAAGUGAAUGUUAAUAAGGAGAAAAAGCUCGGCUCAGGCUGGACCAGAAUC